CCCAGCGGUAGUCAGCUACCCGUCGCUGCGCAGUGCCUGUGAUAGUGUUAUGCUGCUGGGAGAGAAACGCGCUGCUGAGUGGCUCCUGGCACCGCCGGUGCUGUCCUGGCAUUCGGCAGUGGCAGGGUUUGGCAGCGCUCUGCAUGCUCGAGAGUGGAGUAACUCCUGCUCCGUGGGGUUAAUCCUAGAUGGGAUGCAGACAGU